rnacentral:lncRNA from 1 species
CGGAGUAUUUCACAUAGGGUUGUCCCGCAGACGGUCUCGGUGUGCGAGCGCAGCUUCUCCUCACCUAUGAGAUUGAGAGUGAGUCGGGGUUGACCCCGGGGUGGCAACCUUCGGGUUGGCCAUGAGAUUGGAUACUAUCGAGGCAUAGUUGCACGACGCACUAUGUAGUAGCUCGUUCAUUCGGAUUAUUGAGGCAUAGUAGCAUGUGUAGAGACAUCACUAUGUAGUAGCUCAUUUCUUUAUUGUUGAGACAUAGUAGCAUGUUGUAGAUACAUCACUAUGUAGUAGCUCAUUUUCAUUAUUAUUGAAGCAUAGUAUCAUGAUUAGUAGAAUAUUAUUGCUAUGUUCAUGCAUUCCAUGAUUACAGAGGCAUAGUAGCAUGUGUAUAUUCCAUUACUAUGUACUUUAUAUACUCAUGACAUGAUUCUAGCAUGAUAGUAGUUGUUGCAUGCAUUAUCAUCAUUGAUGGCAUGAUAGAGUAGUUGCAGUUUAUCUCUUUAUAUAUCUAUCUACCUCUCUAUCUGUGCCAGCUUAGACCUAGUGGGAAAACCGGCGGCGUCGGCGGCCGAACCCACUGGGAACUAUAUUUAUAUAGUUCUCACCCCGUGUGGUUAUGGGGUACAGGUACACACAGAGGCGAGCCGAGCGAGGACCGCGGCAAAGGCAUAGCGCCCUAGUACCUAGUAGCUUUCCUAUUUUGCAUUAGAGUACCCUCGUGUACAUAGAAAUGUGAUGUAAAUGUAUUUGGAGUUACUCGUGUAUUUGGAGAGCUAUUUUGUAUUAUGAGAAGAAUAUGUAUUCAUUUUGGAAGAUAUAAUAGGGGAGAUUGUGAGACCCCAGAUAGUCCUAUAUAUGAGAUAUAAUAGGGCUAAACUCUUAACCCGGCUUAAGCAUUUUGGGUGGUGGCUAGACCCAAAAGGUUAAGAGAGUUAAGCGUGCUAGGAUGGGAGUAGUCCUAGGAUGGGUGACCCCCUGGGAAGUUGGGGCGUUACAAUAAUUGUUAUAUAGUUCCUAGUUCAUCCACUGAACAUUGUAACCUAGCGUCAUUAGAAACUGAAACCUUAUGGCAUGAACGACAAGGUC